ACCACUAUGCAGAGGAAUAACCUCAGAUUCUCUCUCCUUAGUAUGCUAUAACUGCACAGUUGUGGUACUAAGUGCUCAAGUACACCUUUUCAUUUGUCUAGUGUCUGCAAUGGGAAAUGUUAACGCUUACGAGUGUUUGUCUGAGCAGUCGGGAGGAAUAAUGAAGAGUUCAGAUGACAUUGCAACCAGUGUCUGCUCUACCUCGUACCCAGAGUGUGCAUGAUGGUAUCCAAUGGAUUAUGGGUUAUUGCAAAGUCAAUAGAACAGUGUUAGUUGAUGUUGUUUUGUGGUUUCAAUGAUAAAUGUUUGCAUCAUUUCACUCCAGCAUCUUUUGCUUGCACAGAUUAGGUGGACUUCAGUUGUUCUCUUUGCUUUUGAGAAGCAUCACGCUGAACCAAUGAUUGGCCGAUAUGAUGAGUUGGUUGAUCAAAGAGAGGUUUUUGUAACAGAGAUUGGGUUUGAGAGUUCCUGCCAGAAGGGAAGGAGAGAGAAUGGGCUUUGCACAGUAUAUGUGUUGAGUGUUGGCUGUUUUAAAAAGCAGAGGAACCCAGGCUUAACUGUGGAGGGGAAAGUGGUGGUAUAGUGGUAAGAUGGUGCGUGGGGAGAGGAUUGGAUAUAUUAACUUUGAUAAGAAAAACAGAUAUGUUUUACAGGUUCUUUACAGUGAUUGAGGUAAACAGACACAGGACCAUCUCUGUAGGGAUCAGUUAUUGAGGUAAACAGACACAGGUCCAUCUCUGUAGGGAUCAGUUAUUGAGGUAAACAGACACAGGUCCAUCUCUGUAGGGAUCAGUUAUUGAGGUAAACAGACACAGGUCCAUCUCUGUAGGGAUCAGUUAUUGAGGUAAACAGACACAGGUCCAUCUCUGUAGGGAUCAGUUAUUGAGGUAAACAGACACAGGACCAUCUCUAUCAGUGGCAGAAGAAAGCGGUUUACUUUGAUACGGAUGCACACGUUCGUGAACAGGUUUUAAAAUGACAUGUUGCAGUAGCCAGUGAGAUGGCAGAGAAAAGAGAAAAGACAAAGAACAGGUUCAAAAUGACAUGUUGCAGUCGCCAGCGAGAUGGCAGAGAAAAGAGAAAAGACAAAGAACAGGUUCAAAAUGACAUGUUGCAGUCGCCAGCGAGAUGGCAGAGAAAAGAGAAAAGACAAAGAACAGGUUCAAAAUGACAUGUUGCAGUCGCCAGCGAGAUGGCAGAGAAAAGAGAAAAGACAAAGAACUUGUACGCAAUGACACAUGGGAGGUCCUUGGUAGCCUCGGCCUAUUUAUAGCAGAUAAGAUCUGGCAGAUUGGGAUGGUGCCGGUGCCAGGUAAAGGUAAAAAAGAAAAGGCCCAGUGUUAAGCAGACGCGUUCAUCCAAAGCAUCUUACACGGGCAACGUGCAGUGGGGCCGGGAAACAAGCCCAGGUUGACCACCUCGAAAGCAGAAAACACUAACCACUGUGCCACCAACACCAUUUACAUUUUAAGGUGCAAAAUGAAUGAAUUCUUGUGUCACAGUGGGUGUUGGA
ensembl:lncRNA